rnacentral:lncRNA from 1 species
UUUUUUUUUUUUUUUGAGGGCCAAACGAAGAUUCAUUAGAUAGAAACAGCUCCCGAAGGAGAAGAGCGAACAAAGGAAGGGAGGGUAGAGACCAAAUCACAAGAAGAACAGUGGUGUAAAGCAAAUUUUGCGAGUUGGUCAGCUACAGAGUUUUCACAUCUUCUAGUCCAACUGAAUUUCACCUUAUCAAACUCUUUAGUGAGGGCCUUAAUAUCAUGGAUAACUCCACCCGUAAUCGAAAGGUCGCUCUCGCUGCAAGAAAGCCGACAGUAGGCAGAUUGGCAAUCGGUCUUGAUGAUAAUGGCUCUUCCU